UACAGAGGUGGCGAGCGUUAUUCGGAAUUACUGGGCGUAAAGGGCGCGUAGGCGGCCAGCACAAGUCAGUUGUGAAAUCUCCGAGCUUAACUCGGAAAGGUCAACUGAUACUGUGCGGCUAGAGUGCGGAAGGGGCAACUGGAAUUCUUGGUGUAGCGGUGAAAUGCGUAGAUAUCAAGAGGAACACCUGCGGCGAAGGCGGGUUGCUGGGCCGACACUGACGCUGAGGCGCGAAAGCCAGGGGAGCGAACGGG
rnacentral:rRNA from 1 species